GGAGCAGUGGGGAAUUUUGGACAAUGGGGGAAACCCUGAUCCAGCCAUCCCGCGUGUGCGAUGAAGGCCUUCGGGUUGUAAAGCACUUUUGGCAGGAAAGAAACGUCGCGGGCUAAUACCCCGCGGAACUGACGGUACCUGCAGAAUAAGCACCGGCUAACUACGUGCCAGCAGCCGCGGUAAUACGUAGGGUGCAAGCGUUAAUCGGAAUUACUGGGCGUAAAGCGUGCGCAGGCGGUUCGGAAAGAAAGAUGUGAAAUCCCAGAGCUUAACUUUGGAACUGCAUUUUUAACUACCGGGCUAGAGUGUGUCAGAGGGAGGUGGAAUUCCGCGUGUAGCAGUGAAAUGCGUAGAUAUGCGGAGGAACACCGAUGGCGAAGGCAGCCUCCUGGGAUAACACUGACGCUCAUGCACGAAAGCGUGGGGAGCAAACAGGAUUAGAUACCCUGGUAGUCCACGCCCUAAACGAUGUCAACUAGCUGUUGGGGCCUUCGGGCCUUGGUAGCGCAGCUAACGCGUGAAGUGACCGCCUGGGAGACGCG
rnacentral:rRNA from 1 species